CAGGAAACUAUUCUUUGUUUUCCUAGAUGUUUGGAGAAGUGCAGUAAAAGCUCUAGUGAGAGAAGAAGGAGGUAGGAGAUAGCAUAAAAGAAAAAAGCCCAAUCAAAUUUUACUGUUGUAUAUCACAAUCUGUUGAUAAAUCUUAAAUAUUGUAUAGUGCUUGUUCAGUCAAAAAGGCAGUUUCAAGUAUGUUGAUUUAACUCUUCCAAUAAUUGCUCAAAGUUAUCAAACAUGUUGAGACCAGGCCCAGGUUUUCUGAACUCAGAGCACUUCCUUUUUCAGUAUACUGUUAACCUAAAACAAAAAAGCAGCCAGUUAUUUUACCAGCAAAACAGGUUUACUUGGGAGCAGCAAAGAAAUGCAGAUCAGGACUUGCCAUUAUGAUGAACCUCAUGCCAGCCCAGUAAGGUAAAGGCAGGUAAACACUUUUAUAGAGGAAAAGAGGAAGUUGAGAGAGGAUUUUAUAAAGAAAAAGUCCAUUGGAGGAAACUAGGAGUUUGAAGUAUAGUGGCUUUUCAUUGGCUGAGUUAUGAUCAUCUCUCAUUGGCUGAGCUGUUACCAGGCAAGGAGAAAAUCUUUCUUCUUCCUGCUGGUGAUAGUAAAGUAGUGUGACUUCUUGCUGGAAGCGUGAGUACAUCCCUUCCCGUUGGUACAUCUGUGUUGACAUCAAGUGGUACAUGUGUGCGAGCUCUCCCUUCUGGUCUCCAGUUUAGUGAAGUUUCUCUUUAUUAAUUUUCGCAAUACCAGGAGUCUUUCUCACCCCUCCAGACUGGUGCUGAAUUACUGUCUAUAAGAACCAUGUGCAGCCUCUAACCCAAGGAUUAUUCUAGUGAGGGUGCAGGAUCUUUUCUCAUAAAUGCCCUCAGACACAUUCUGAACACACACACACACACACACACACACACACACACACACACACACACACACACACUGUUAUAUUCAACAACAGUAACAAUAACUAAAGAGAAUUGCUCUGCAGUUGACUUGCAGACUCAACUGACUGCUUGACUCAGUGUCAAGAAAAGAAAGGAAAUUACUUCUUGCCUUCUCUGGGGUAAGAGAUUUGACUAUUGAGAGUAAAAGUAACAGGAAAUCCACAUGUUACAAAGAUCAUAUGCCCAAAUAAACAAGUCCUUUCCAGUUAGUUAUCAACUGGUAUGAGUCACUUAUAUCCGUUUUCUCUCUUCUCACAUUCCCUUGUGAUACGGGGUGACAAACAAUAUAGUUUAGGAAUAACGCCCUUGAAGAGGAAAGCAGCAGAAUUCCUUAGUCCUUUCUGUAUUCAAGAAUCUUUUCUCUCCCAGUUUUUCUCUGUAUCAAUUAGAAAUACUACAAGAUGGCCAACUCCCCUUAUGAAUGGAUAACAACAGCCUUAAUCAUCACUGUCUCUUUUGAAUUGUGUCACAAGAUAUGGAUUUUUGUCAAAUCAUUGGGACUUCUUGUACUAACAUGUGGAAACUGAGGCUUCCAACCAAGAUGAAGUCAUUGGUUGAUGGCUGUCUUCCAAGGUUGUCAUUGUCAUCAUAAAGUUCUUUCCCAUGAUUACUCCCCACAUGCAGAGGCUGUGGUGAAGCGAAAAUCUCUGUCUUGCAUGAAGAAAACUUAAAUCUUAGAUGGCAACUAUAUGAAAGAGAUUCAAAUGUAAAUACUUUGUUCCCAUUACAAAAAAAUGAACAAACCAGGAGUUCCUGUUGUUGGGGAAGCAGAAAUGAAUCUGAUUAGUAUCUGUGAGGAGGUGGAUUCAAUCUCACGCCUUGCUCAGUGGGUCAGGGAUCCAGCGUUGCCAUGAGCUCUGGUGUAGAUUGCAGACAUGACUCGUAUCCCACGUUGUUGUGGCUGUAGCUCCAAUUCAAACCCUAUCCUGGGAACUUCUAUAUGCCACAGAUGUGACCCUGGAAACCAAAAAAAACCAAAAACCAAAAAACAACCCAAACCCCCGAACAAACCAACUUUCAAGUGUAUUUGUCAAACUCUAGUUCUAUAAUUUACUGGGGGUAUGAACUUGGUUAAGUGACUUAACCUCUUUGAGCUUGAGUGUUCUCUCGGAAGUGGGGGGAAUAUCUCCUGCACAGAGUUUAGGGAGAAUUAGAAGAGAUACUGCAAGUGAAACAGGUACUAAACAUUCAGAUAUCUGUACACAGCCCAGCCCCAUCUCUCAAUACUCUCCCACUUCCUAGAAUUAUAACUAGUUCUUCACAAAAUAUUACUUAAAAAAUUAAAAUAUUUGGUGAGAGAAAUAACUUUGCAGGUGCUAAUGUUAUUUUUGUUCUGCUCUGCAAAGACAAGACAGGACUGGACAGUCUUUCCCCAAAGCCUAAUUAGAGUUUUUCCAUGACUGUAUUUGUGUUUGUUUUUGCUUCUUUUGUUCAAGUUAGGUCUUCAGGCGACCGAAAUGAAAUUCUCGCCAAAGAGGCAUCCUUUGUAGCAGUGAUGACACAAAUUACAUUGUUCUCCAGGGUUUAAAACACCCAGCCAUUAAAUUUAACUACGUGAACUUGGCAGAUCUUUUCAAAAACAAAGCAGCUGUUUCCCUUUUGUUCACUUUUUUUUUUUUUUUUUUAAAGCUCACCAGCUUAAAGAUGUACACACCCCUCUUGCAAACCCAGGAGAUACCAUGAAGUAGUGUGAAGGUACACAGUGAUUAAAAGAGAAUGAGACGUUUAAUUUUUAUUUUUGAGCAAUACAGUACUAUUUGUUAAGCAAUAUAGUGCUUAUGGUGUGUCAGCCACUGAUCCAAGCCUUUAUAAACAAUAAGUUGUGUUUAUGAAUAAUAGUACCACCUAGGGUAGGUUCUAUUAUUAUUCCCAUUUUACAGAUGGAGAGCCUGCAGCAUGGACAUUGGACAACUUGCCCAAGAUCAUGAGGCUCUAAUAGGUAGAGCUGGCUCCAUGGUCCGUGGUUUUGCAGAGUUCUCUCAUUUGCUGUUUAUUCUCUUUAUUUCAUUUAGUCUUUACCAUUUAUAUAAUUGCCCUCUGUUGUUCAUACUCAUCACGGUAAAGUCCUUGCUUCCAUUACCCCUCAGGCAACUAACUCCCUACUCCAGCAAAGAUGGCACUCCCUAAUUGGUCACCACCAUUGCGGUUGCCCACGGGUGUACCUUUCCAAGGGGUAGGGAGUGGGUAGGAAACUCGACUCUGGUCAGUAAUUUAUAAGAUGACACACAGCUCAGACUGUGGGCAACGUAGUUACAGAGGCAGAGCCCACAGCCACAACCCCACUUAGUGCCACCCAGGGGUCAUUUUUUCAGAUCUCUGUGCUCAGUCCUUCCUGCCUGUGACACUCUCAGUUCCCACGUCUGUUUGAUGUCUACAGGAGUAUGAGAUUACGUCACUACUGCCCCUGGUCAAGGCAGGGCCUUUGAGUGAAUUGGAGGGGGCAAAUUGUGUACGAGGGUAUGUAGAUGUUGUUUGUGGGCAAAGCAUAUGCUCACUCUGGGUCAUAAAUAACUUCAGACUUCAACUGCAGUGUCCUGGCCCAAUCACUGUUCCUCAAAGUUCCACAGGUCAAUGCAUUAAGAUGCUUACACCUACAAAGGACCAGGAGAGAUGUAUAGAACUAUACCAGGCUCCCUACCUUCUUUGAUCAAUGUCAACAGCAAGUGUCAGCCUAUCAUAAUACACCAACAAUAGAGUUAAGCCUGGUACAUUGGAGAGCAGAGGGGAGAACCACCCAUCUCAGUGGGGAACUUUCUUUAAAAGCUACCCAACAAAAAUAUACAAUGGAGAAGACAGUCUUUUCAAUAAAUGGUGCUGGGAAAACUGGACAGAUACAUGUAAAAGAAUGAAAUUAGAGGAGUUCCCUGGUGGCCUAGCAGUUAAGGAUUCAGCAUUGUCAUUGAUGUGGGUCAGGUUUGACCCCUGGCCUAGGAACUUCCAUUUGCCUUAAGUGCGGCCAAAGAAAAGAAAAAAGAAAAAGAAGUUCGAAAAUUCUCUAAUACCAUACACAAAAAUAAACUCAAGAUGGAUUAAAGACCUAAAUGUAAGGCCAGAUAGUAUAAAACUCCUAGAGGAAAACAGGCAGAACACUCUUUAACAUAAAUCAUAGCAAUAUUUCUGGGGAUCUGUCCUCUAAAGAGGAGAUAAAAGCAAAAAUAAACAAAUGAGACCUAAUUAAACUUAAAAGGUUUUGCAUAGCAAAGGAAACGAUCAAUGAAAUGAGAAGACACCCUACUGAAUGGGAGAAAAUAUUUGCAAAUGAUGUCACCGACAAGGGGCUAAUAUCUAACAUAUAUAUAUGCAGCUCAUAUAACUCAACAUCAAAAAAACCAAUCAACCUGAUUUUAAAAGGGUAGAACCGAAUAGAUGUUAUUCCAAAGAAGAAAUGCAGAUGGCCAACAGGCACAUGAAAAUAUACUCAACAUCAUCCUGAAAAUCAUCAAGGAAACGCUAACCAAAACUACAGUGAGAUAUCACCUCAUACCUGUCAGAAUGGU
rnacentral:lncRNA from 1 species